rnacentral:lncRNA from 1 species
AAGAAGCCCAUGUUCUCACAUUCAGAAAGAAUUCUGUUGAAUAAUCUCUGUCCUCAAACCCCACAUCUCUCUCCUGCUCAGCCGUCGACCUUGCCUGACACCUCACAGUUCAACUGGAGAGACCCCCAUCAGCAGGAGAUUGUGCUGCAGGCUGAGCAGGUCUUUGUGGCUGGAGAAACAAAAUGUUUUAAAAGCCCAGAAGAGGGACUGGGUGCAGUGGCUCACACCUAAUCCCAGCACUUUGGGAGGCGGAGGUGGGCGGAUCACCUGAG